rnacentral:rRNA from 1 species
AGCAGCCGCGGUAAUUCCAGCUCCAAUAGCGUAUAUUAAAGUUGUUGCAGUUAAAAAGCUCGUAGUUGAAUUUCGGGGUCAGUAGAUUGGUCGUGCCACUGGUAUGUACUGGUCUUACUGGCUCCUCCUUCCUGAUGAACCGUAAUGCCAUUAAUUUGGUGUUGCGGGGAGACUGGACUGUUACUUUGAAAAAUUGAGUGUUUAAAGCAGGCUAACGCUUGAAUACAUUAGCAUGGAAUAAUGAAAUAGGACGUUCGAUCUUAUUUUGUUGGUUUCUAGGAUUGACGUAAUGAUUAAUAGGGAUAGUUGGGGGCAUUAGUAUUCAAUUGUCAGAGGUGAAAUUCUUGGAUUUAUUGAAGACUAACUACUGCGAAAGCAUUUGCCAAGGAUGUUUUCAUUAAUCAAGAACGAAAGUUAGGGGAUCGAAGACGAUCAGAUACCGUCGUAGU